AAGGACUUAGCUUAAUAAAAGUAUCUGAUUUGCGUUCAGCUGAUGUAGGGGAGGUCCUGCAGUCCUUA
rnacentral:tRNA from 2 species